AAAAAUUAACUUACUAUUUUAAUAAGAAUUUAUUUUAGAGAAUCAUCUUUUACUUUAGUAUUUUAUAGAAUGAGUUAUUUUUGUAAUAGUUUAUUAGUACUGUAAAGUAAUGUUGAAAUAUAUUGAAAUAAAUAUUUCAUUUAAAGCAUACUUUUUGUAGUACCUUUUGUAUCAGGGAUGAUUAAUUUUAUUUAAUUUAU
rnacentral:rRNA from 1 species